CUCUCCUCUAACAGUAAGCAUGAUUACCCUUGCAUCACUCUUUUAAUUAAUAUCUAUUACUGCCUAACAAAUUAUCCCAAACCCAGUGGCUUCAAACAACAAUAAUAAAAUUAUUCUCUCUUAAUUUCUGUGUGGCAGGAAUUCAGGAGUUGUUCUGCUGACUUAUUCUGGCUCAGGACUUUUCAUGAGGUUGGAAUCAAGAUGUCAUCUGUGGCUGUCAUUGUCUAAAGGCUUGACUGGGACUACGAAAUCCACUCCUGGGAUGACUCACCUGCAUGGCUGUUGCCAAAGGGCUCAGUUCCUUACCACAUGAGAUUCUAAAUGGCAGGGAACAAUGGCUCAUGCCUGUAAUCCCAGUAAUCCCAGCACUUUGGGAGGCCAAGGAAAGAGGAUCAUUUGAAGCCAGGAUAUGGAGACCAACCUGGGCAACAAAGCAAGACCUCAUCUCUACAAAAAAAUAAAAAUUAAACAUUAAAAAAAUUGUAUAUAUACAUAUAUAAUUUAUAUGUAUUAUGUCACAAUACAUACAACUUAUAUGUAUUGUAUAUGAAUUGUGACAUAAUACUUAUAGAUGUAUAUAUAUUUUUUUGCCCAAUGCCCUGUGUUUUAAACUAGGUAUAUCAUACCCUCUUGGUUAUGUGGCUAUCUGGAAAUGACAGAUAAUCAAUUUAAAAUGUAACCAGGGUGAUAUGAUUAUCUGGGGAGAGUCUGACUUGAAUAUCUAUAUAUCACCCUUUAGUUUGAAGUCUUGAAUACAGCAAAAACCACAGCAAAAGCAAUAGUUAUAGAGUAGACAUUUUCAUGAUUACUAAAGGUAGUAAAAAGGAAACAGAUAAGACAAACUCACAGUAACCACAGGAGAAAACAAAGGAUCCAGAAGGGAACCCAUCAACAAACAUAUACUUCUCUAGCAGAGGAACAAACCUGGAAGAAAGAAGACAAUGGGACUCAUUGGAGAAAUAAAUCCAGGAGCCUGGAUAUUGUCUAAGAAAAUGUGUAAUCAUAGAAGACACGUAAAAUUAGCAUAAACCGAGGGCUGGUGUUUUAGGAGUCCAAAAUGUUGCUUGGCUGAGGAAAAUGUUGAAGAGGAAAAUUCAACAUUAUUUCAUCACUUCAUUUAUUCUUGGUUGUUGUUUGUCAUUUUCUUAAUACUUUCAAUCAAAGUAUUUAGUCUAAGCUUGCAACUCCAAUGGGUGAUAAAGCUGAACCACAAUCGUCUUCCCCAUUCCCCUAAAAUGUAAGGAUAUUUAAAAUGUAUUUUUUACCUUGCCUUAAAACUCUACAGUGAUAGUAAUUUCCAAAAGGGAAAAAAAUAGCAAAAGAUACCACAUGUUUUCUCACUUACUUCUACACUUAUGCUAGAAUCUAUAGAAGGAAAAAUAUUUGUCUUUGUUUCUUUUUUUUUCAAUGAUUUGUAUGAGACUUUUUUCAUAUAUUGCCAAUCUAGAAAUUUUUAAUGCAAUUACAUUUUGAGGCAUGUGCCAUUAAAAUGGCUAAUUUCAGAUCUUUAUUUCACCUUGAUUUAAAGGAAAAAUGUUAUCUCCCUAAAGACCAAUUGCUUUUGUAUGCCAAGAAAUGUGUGUGCAUUAGAUGCUGCUUGGCUUUCCCAAAGCUAAUUUUCCAGAAGUAAGAGAAGAACUGACUCAGCCUAUUCAUGUCUCCACAUUGUUGCCAUGCACACGUGGAAGGCAGUCUGAAGCAGGCUCAGACUGUUUGGCUGUGAAAUUCAUCAUGAGGAAGUCCUCUGGCUCUCCGUGAUGUCUCACAGCUCCAAGCCCAUUCAUAUUCACCAGGAACUAUGUGGAAAUUUAUCUGAGAAAAUACAAGAAUGUCUCAAUUUGAGCUCCAUUGCUGACCUUGUGUGCAAGGAGAAAGCAGGCUUUGUGUGUUCCAUUUUGAAUAUCUGGUAACUCAGCCCUUGACUAAGUCCCUUUGGUUAGUUGCUAAGCAGCAUGAAAGUUAGCACACUCUCUACUUUAGAAAAUCUUCAGGAAUAUUUACUUUUCUAAAAUGAACUUUUGUUUAUAAACCCAUUUGAUGAAAUCAAUCAAAUGUAUAUACAUCAGCAACUAUUUAAUAGGUAUUUCUUCAUGGAAUAAGGAAUCACAGUGUCAAUUUGCCCAUGUUGAGCAUAUCUAUAUUUUGACAAUGGAGUCAUUUCUAUAGAAGCAACAAUGGUGCUGCAUUUAAAAAGUUAGGAAGGUGGUAGAUGAAAAAGCAAUGAAAGUAGUAAACUAUGGAAUAAAGAUACUAUUUUAUUACAAUCUAAGUAAUAAUUAAAAUAAAACCAACCAAAAGAAAUGCAGAACAAACUAUUAACAUAAAUACAAGACUCUGUCUUGUAGAGAAAAUAAUUUCACAGUAAAGGUUUGGUUAUACCACUUUUCCAACAAUUGUACUACUUUUGCAAGGAUUUUAUUUAUAUGAUAGAUAAGAAAAUGAAUAAAUCUUUUUCUAAAAAUGAAUUCAUUUCCAGUUAUUUCAUUCUUUUUUCUUUCAAAUUACUAGUGAAUCUUUAAAUUUCAAGGUUAUGAAGAAAUCAGUUUCCUUCAAAUAAAAAAUAUAUCAAUCAACUGGUACUUUAUAACUUUGAAAGAGCAAGUUUAUUGCCAAUAAAAAUAAGGACAACAAAAAGGUAUACAAAAUAGAAAGGAGUAUGAAAAGACAAGAACUUCUGAUAAGGCUAAUCUGAGAAAUUCCAGUCCUCACUUGAAUAGUACUUUGAAUACUCACACACAUGAGAUUAUUGCAGUAACUACUGACAGAAAUAAAUAUAUUCAAAUGAAAACAUAUGAAACAAUACUUGAUAUUGUUUUGUGAGUGACACUAAUUUUGUCAAAUAUAUUGCUUUUUUGCCACAUUUAAGCAGUACAGUUCAUUUUAAAUGGCUGGUAUUUUGUGGGUUUUUUUGUUUUUACUAUGUUUUUAUUGUGAAUUUUGAAAGUCAAACUCUUUUUCAGGCCAACAAAAGCAAACUAAUCUCAUUAAAAAUAUCAUUCCUCUUGUUCCUUCCUUUAAUUAUUCGUGUCUUAUUGGAAUUUAGGAAAAUUGAUCCAAAUACUACAAACAUUGUUGUCAAUUUCUUAUAUUUAUUUCCUUGCUAUGUCUCUAGAGUUUUCUAAUGCCAAAUAGAAGGUUUAAUCAGUCUGUAUUGUUUAAAUAAUAGAGUUUAAAAGCUAUUUAUUGGAAAGUAUUUUAAAUCUCAUGUAAAUGGAAUUCUACUGGAAGACUUCUUUUUAAAAUCAUAUUUAAUACUUGGUUACACUUUAUUAAAACACUUCUGGUUUCAGAUUAUCUUUUGAAUGCAGCUAACCUAUCACUAAGUUUUUUGUUAUGCUGGUCCAAAGUCUGAUGUUUUGUAAUUUCAAAAUUACUAUAACUCUUUUCCUUGUUUCUUUCCUUAGUAAAUUUCAAAUUCCCUUUUUCUGGUAAUUUGUGACUUCCUUUCUUCAUUAUGUAGACAUUCUUGACUUCUUAAAGCAAAACAAAAGGAAAGAAAAAAAGCAAAUAACAAUAACAAAACCCACUUCCCUUAAUUCUGCAUCUUUCUCUCUUUACAGGCAAAUUUCUUAAAGGUUCAACCAUCACUUCCACUUUUACACAGUACCAUAACACUCAUGAAAAUUCCACUGUGUGUGUUUUCACAAGGACCUGAUACAAGCUAUGACACUGCUCAUUGUCUCUCUCCUUUUCUCAAAAUGUGCAGUCAUUAAUAAUUUUUCUCAGGAUUUUUAUCAUUAACCUUUUUCAUAUUGUUCCUAAAUCAAAGUUUGUAAUUCGAAAUCCUUUUAAAAAAUGCCAGAAGGCAAUGAAGUAUUCAGAAGAUUAAAAAUGAUGGUGUAAUAACCAGAAUCCACAUAAUCAAAAAGAUUUGUGGUUCAGUGUUUUCUUUCUAAGGUACCAAAUGAAAGAGUAUCAUGUAGGUUUUUAUCAUGGCAAUUUUUUUAAAGAUAUAAAAUAAAUAGAAAUAUUUAUUGACAAGUAUGUCAAAUGCAAACUUGACCUUGUCCUGACACUUUUACAAUAUAACAUGGCUUCAAACAUUUAAAGAAAAUAAAAAUUAAAUGCCAUAAAGUUGUUUUUUUCUCUUCCUCUUCCUCCUUCUUCUCCUCCUUUCUUUUUCUGUUUCUAUCAUGGUUUUAUUUUUUCUUUUCUGACUUUAAUAGAUUGAUUUUAUUAAUUUACUAGGUUUUAGAGGGGCAGGUUUUGUCAAUUGGCUUCAUAUCUACCACUUUUGCCUCAAAUGCCUAAUUUUCAUAAUAUUACUUAAUAAAACAUUUGAAUACAUUAUUAAUGCUCACUAGUGGAAAGAAAUGGAAUUAGAAAUUGCUAAAGUGAAAUCAGUAAUUCCCCGCUAAACAAUUAGGUAUUUUAGAUAUUGAAGAGAUUUUUGAAUCAUAAAUUUGUUGGCUUUUCUCUGUUAAGUAUAUUCUACUUUUGAUAAUUAACUUUUUAUGUUAAGAAAAUGUCUAGAAACAGAAAUAUUUGAUUGAAGAAACUAAUUAUAAUGUUAUACUGUUCCUUGAAUAGAAUUUAUCUUCUAUGAAAACGAAGGUAGAUUUCACAUCCCCUUCUUUCACUUUUCAUAUUUCCCAACUGCAAGCAGACAAUUCAUAUAUUGAAGGUAAUUAUUUCCUUUGUAGGCUUCUUUCUGUAACAACUUGGAAAUGAGUACUUAUUUAUAUUUUGGGUUAUCCAACAUACGAUGCUAUCAAGAUGUGAGUUAAAUUAUUUAGUUACUGGAAGAGAGAGAGUGUGUGUGUGUGUGUGUGUGUGUGUUUGAGGUAGCAGGGAGGUGGGGAUAAGGGAGCUAUUUGUCUAGCCUUGCAUUUGUUUUGUGAAACAGACAACCAGAGAUGACUAUUUUUUAAAUCACAGCUUGUAGUGAGCUUAAAUUAUGUAAAAAGGUACUACAUAUUAUAACGUAAAUUAUAAAUGCAAUAUACUAUAAUUAUUAUUGUUUAGCAUUAUUUGAUUAGGAAUUCUACAGCUCUUAUGAACGCUGUCAGGUUCUAUUUAAGUGUGCAAUACUAAUAUAAUUUAAAAAGCAGCUGUAUUUGAUGGUUUUUGUGUGUGUGUAUGUGAAUGCCCUUUUGCGAUAUUUCAAAAUGGCGUCUAAAGCUUUGUCCUUGUCAAUUUACUUUAACAUUCUUUCAGAAGGUUCUGUCAAAUUCUUGCUAAGCUUUACUUCUCAGAAACCCAAAGUGGUAUUAUUUGGUCCCUAAGAUAUACAGAAGUUUGGCUAUGGAAACAAUUUCAGGUUUUAUCCUGGAAUUGCAGUCAGAAUUUCUUGCUAAAAUUCUCUAUUUCCCCUCUAUUAACCUCUUUCAAUAAUAAGCAAACACAUAGCAAAGCUUUAAUAGUUUUCGUUACCUUUCAUCUUGUGUUCUAUAAUUGUUAGCCUUUAAAAUGUUUCAAUCAAUAUUGAAAUUUUUUUGAAAUGUAAGCCAUUUGUUGUUAUUACUGAGAAAAUUCACUGGAGCCCCUCCACUAGUACUCCUGACCUAAAGGUAGGUCAUGCUAAAGAGAUGGAGGGGGCUGAGUACUGUCAUGGAAGGAGAUGCAACUCAUACAAAGGUUAACACAUGAAACUUACACAUUUUUAAAAGUCUCAUAUUCAUAAAUAAUGCUUCAAUAUAUUGUUAAAUAAUUGAGAUAACAGGAUAUUGUAUGCUUUUUGGUGUGCAUUUGAAUUUUUCUUCUUCAUCUCAUUGAGGAAGUUCCCCAUUUGUCUUCUCUUUCCUCAAAGAGGAUAUUUUCCAUUAUCAGAUAAGUAGUAAAAACCAGAAUAUAUCAUGAAAUGUAGACUUUGAACAAAAUAUUAGGAUGAUAAAAUACUCAUGUAACCAUUGGAAUUAUACUUUAAAAACACUGUAUCAUGGCAGGGGUUAGCAGAGUAAUUGAGACCAACUCUCCCAGUGAGAACAACUGGAAAAGCUAGACAAAAUAUUAAAAAUAAAAUCUGCACAAAGGAAUCAGAGAGAUACCAAGGAAGUUAAAUUAUGAUUAAUUAAGAAAUACUUGUUUGUGAAAACACAUCAUAAAGUGAGUGAAAAAUAUUUGAAAAAGUUGAAGAUAUUUACAACCACAUAUAUGUGAAAACAGAAUUUCUACAAAUCAAUUAGAAGGUGAUAAUCAGUAAAAUAAUGGGCAGCAGACUUGAAUAGAAACUUUAAAAAUAGCAAAGUUUGCUCAACAUGUUUGGUUUCAAAGUAAUACAGAAUAACAUACACAGAUACUACUACAAUUAACAAAAAUGGCUUAUCUUCAGAAGUCUGCUAAUACCAAGUGUAGGUGAAGAUAUGUUCUUUCACAGACAGUAUAUGAACUGAUACUGCUCCUUGGAAAAGCUAUUUGGUAUUUUCUACUAAAUUUAAAUAAAUGCACAUCUUAACACCCAGUAUUUUCAUGUCUCUCUCUCUUCCUGUCUCUCUCUCUCUCUCUACACACACACAAACACACACACACACACACACACAAAGCAGAAAUGCAUGUACAUGUCCACCAAAAAGUGUACAAUGUACAUAGAAAAAUAUGUAUAGCAACACAAGAAACAAGCUAAAUAUCCAUCAACAGUGGAAUAAUUGGAAAUGAAUUAAUAAAUUAUAAAUUAAUAAAUUCAUUUAUAUAUUUAUAACAGAAUAGUCUAAACAUUGAAUAACAAACUACAGUUAUUUUAAUACAGUUAUUUUAAUAAUAUGAAAAACUGAUAAUGCUGAGUGAAUGACAGUAGACAAUACAUACUGCAUGAUAAUGCAUAUGAAGAUUAAAAAUCUACUAAAGUUAGUUUGCUAGAGAUUUGAUUAGACAUUUUACUGCUGUUGGACAUUUAAAGUUUUUGCUAAUCUUGAAUAUUUUGUUUUUAAAUGAUGUUAUGAAAAAAUAUAUGAAACUAAUAUUUUGUUAUAAUGUUAAUUUCAAGUGGAAAUAUUGGGAUAAAAGAAUUACGGUUUUGAUAGAUAAAUUUUGUCAAAAUACUUGAUUUCCAGAGAAAGCAUUUUUGAAUUCCUAAAACCUAUUACCAGGAUUGACGAUUUUAAGUUUAUUAAUAUUUCCUACUUUGGAAUUUAAAAAAUGAAUGUAACUGUGACUAUUAUUUGCUUUUAUUUAAUAGUUAACAUGAAAAUGUUUAUAUCACAUUUUAAUGAAAAAUUAAACAUUUUAAAUAGCACUUAAGGGGUUGCAAUAAGUUAUUCUCCCUUCCACUUCAAACACUUCAUUGUCUAUGGUCAGUUGAAUAAUGUUAAAAUCAUGGUUGUCUCAUUUUUUUUAAUAGAAUUCUAUAUAAGCAUUUAGGCUGGUGCUUUUAAAAUUAACUCUGUAACAAAAUCUUCAAUUUCUUCCAAGAUAAUUUCUCUGUUUAAAGAAUCUCCUGGCUGGGCACAAUGGCUCACACCUGUAAUCCUAGCACUUUGGCAGGAUGAGGCAGGAAGAGCGCUUGAGGCCAGGGGUUUGAGACCAGCCUGGGCAACAUAAAGAGACAAUGUCUCUAAAAUAAAAAAAAUAUAUAAAAUUAUAUAUAUAUAAUUUACAUAUAUAUUACAUGUAUAUUAGACCACCAGCAUGGUGGCAUGUACCUGUAGUCCCAGCUACUUGCAAAGCUGAGGUGAGAGGACCACUUGACCCUGGGAGGUCAAAGCUGCAGUGAGCCAUGGUUGUUCCACUGCACUCCAACCUGGGUGACAGAGCAAGACCCUGCAUUAAAAACAAAAGAAAAAGGAAAAGGAAAAAAAGCCCUGUUUUUAAGGGUCAUAUUAUCUCCUGUUUUAAAAGUCAUAUUAAGUAAUUUAUAUUUUUGUGGAAAAUUUAUGUUUUAGAAGAAUUUGCAUAAAGUUGAAUAGAUUUGUAUCUUAAAAUUAUUUUCAUAUCAUGUACCUGUGUUAUUUC
rnacentral:lncRNA from 10 species